rnacentral:rRNA from 1 species
UACGUAGGGUGCGAGCGUUGUCCGGAAUUAUUGGGCGUAAAGAGCUCGUAGGCGGUCUGUCGCGUCUGCUGUGAAAUCCCGAGGCUCAACCUCGGGCCUGCAGUGGGUACGGGCAGACUAGAGUGCGGUAGGGGAGAUUGGAAUUCCUGGUGUAGCGGUGGAAUGCGCAGAUAUCAGGAGGAACACCGAUGGCGAAGGCAGAUCUCUGGGCCGUAACUGACGCUGAUGCACGAAAGCUGGGGGAGCAAACAGG